UACGGGGGGAGCAAGCGUUGUUCGGAUUUACUGGGCGUAAAGGGCGCGUAGGCGGUCAGCACAAGUCAGUUGUGAAAUCUCCGGGCUUAACUCGGAAAGGUCAACUGAUACUGUGCGACUAGAGUGCGGAAGGGGCAACUGGAAUUCUCGGUGUAGCGGUGAAAUGCGUAGAUAUCGAGAGGAACACCUGCGGCGAAGGCGGGUUGCUGGGCCGACACUGACGCUGAUGCGCGAAAGCCAGGGGAGCAAACAGG
rnacentral:rRNA from 1 species